rnacentral:rRNA from 1 species
AGUGAACGCUGGCGGCGUGCUAAUACAUGCAAGUCGAACGGAAUUUAAAAGAGCUUGCUCUUUUGAAUUUAGUGGCGCACGGGUGAGUAAUAUACAGCUAAUCUGCCCCUUGCUGGAGGACAACAGUUAGAAAUGACUGCUAAUACUCCAUACUCCUUUUUACCAAAAGAUAAAUCGGGAAAGAAUUUCGGCAAGGGAUGAGACUAUAUCGUAUCAGCUAGUCGGUGGGGUAACGGCCUACCGAGGCUAUGACGCGUAACUGGUCUGAGAGGAUGAUCAGUCACAUUGGAACUGAGACACGGUCCAAACUCCUACGGGAGGCAGCAGUAGGGAAUAUUGCGCAAUGGGGGAAACCCUGACGCAGCAACGCCGCGUGGAGGAUGACACUUUUCGGAGCGUAAACUCCUUUUGUUAGGGAAGAAUAAUGACGGUACCUAACGAAUAAGCACCGGUAA